rnacentral:lncRNA from 1 species
UUUAUGCCACAAAGUUUCUAGGCAGUAGGUCUGCUUCUACUUAGGCUGAUUUCUAAGCUUUGAAUUUUUGCGCAAUAAAAGCAGAAUGUCGAAGCUCCUUAACUGUUUAGAACAAAAGUCCCUGCUCAACAAGUUGCAGAAUGAAAAGUAGAAGAAAAGAAGUGUGAAAUUAUGGAUGUAUAAGAUGGACAAGUAGAACGCAACUCAGAUCCUGACUCACUUUUAGAACGAUCACCAACAAAGAGCCACUCAAUUAGCAGACUGUAAUAUGAGAGAUAAAUAAAACUUUUGGAGGUAAAUCCAUGGAUAUUCCAGGAUUUAGGUGUUGCAGAAGUGGAGUCAAGUGAAGCACUUGUUCCUGAAGUGAUGUCAAAAGAGAGUGACCAGCCGGAUAAUGUAUAAAGAAGAUAUAGUAUUUUAUAAGGCCAUUAUGGCUCUAGACACUGUCUUUCAUUUGUGCAGGUUCAAGCUCAGAGGCACCAACAAAACAUCCAUGCACAAACUUAUAAUGUAAGAUAUUGAUUUAUUAGCUUCUAAUGAAAUAUGUUUUUAUUAACUAAGAGAUUGAUACAUAAAACAAAUCUUGAUACUUUAAGCAAGAAAUUUCCUUGUAGUGAAUAGCUUUACUAGAAAUAAAUUUAUUAUUCAAGAUAGUGGUUUGUGAACAUAGGAUUGUAAGUGAGAAGAUGUCAAUUAAGUUAGUUGUCUCUAUUAAUUGACUGUGCUGGUGUUGCAGUAGUUUUUCAGAAUUAACAUAACUAAUUGAAAGCAAAAACAUCUCUCCAAACAUCUCUGAGAAAAUGAUACAUUACUGUCUAAUUUUCCACCUUCUUUUCUAUGUUUCCUCCAGUUUAUAUUAUUAUUUCAGUUAGGUACAAUACAACUGAUUGAUGUAGAACUUCUUUUGUACUGUUUAUAAUCUUCUCCUUGGAACAUAAACUGCUAUUGCUUUUAUCAGAAGAAGCCUUACUCCUACAAGUAACACACAAACCACACACCUAGGUAAUUCUUUUAUGUAAAAAGUUAAUCUGAUGUAUUGAAUGUUCUCUUUAAAUUUCAAUUCCAGACAUCUAUUUUCCUGAUAUAUUUUACCAAUUUUGGGGAGUGUGCUCUAUACUAAUUGUUUUUAAGUAUAAUGAUGAUCAGCAUAAGAGUUAUUAUUAAUAUCCGCUAGCUGUGAGAUUUGUCUUGGAAAAUAAUACUUCUCAUUUGUAGAUCAGUUUUUCCCAGAACACAUUAUGUUGCAUAUUAGAUAAGAAAACAGUGCCUCUGCAGCAAAUUACAAAAGUCAGAGCAAGAGAGCUAGGGGAGUUGAGAAUCAGUACCUCAGAAAGAAACUUUGCUAGAAUUGUACCUUAUUUGUUUGAAGACCUAUUUCUUAUGUUGGGGAUGGGGAUGAGGAUGGGAAGCAUAAAUAGACACCGCUUGACAUCAGUGUCUGUAAUCUCAAAACUGAAAAACUAAAGUAUCAGUGAAAAAAUUUCUUCAGUUAUUCAUGGUGUUAGAGUAUUUGAAAAGCAAUAGAAAUAAAAAUGUUAAGGUAUUGGUUUUAGAUUUGUUGGGAGGUGAUUCUUCCUGAAUAGAGAGGCAUUGAUAUCCUUUGUUCUGAACCAUCUUUUCGAGAAUAUUUGUGUAGUACUUACUAUACUUUUAUUUAAACAUUCUCUCCACUAUGAUAAUAAAGAUAAUGUCUCCCUCAAGAGCAAAGGUUGAAAACCAAAGGAGAAAAAAAGAAAUGUUUAUUAUGUAUCCUUAAGGUUCUGUUUUUUAUUUUUGUGUUUAUUGUUAUCAGGUUUCCAUGUAACAGAGUAUUUUCGAGUGUGAGGCUUGACAAUGGCUCCAUGGAUUUAAUGUAUGCAUUCUCCUCUGCCUGGCUAUCACACACUAGAGAGAGGGAACACAAUGAUAUGCUCCCUCAGUUUUAUAAGUUUCUAAGCAUUGCCACAGCAUAAUUAUAAAGUAUAUGCUGAUACUCUUUAGGGGAACCAUGGUGGUGUCAUGACCAUGUGAACUCCCCAUGCAGGUAUUCAGUUCCCCUUCUUUCAACUCCCAGCUUUAACUUACCCUCCUGGCUUUAGAAAGCAGAACUUAAAAACUGAUGAGUAGGUAAUGCAAAAUUACAAUCAUUACAUUUUAGAUUUGAAAGACAUCAUGGAGAGCUUCUAAUCUUAUCACUCCAUUUUAUAAAGAGGGAGUAAAUUGAUCAGAAUUGCUAAGAAGAUGCUAGUCAGUUGUGAAAUC